rnacentral:rRNA from 1 species
UACGGAGGGUGCAAGCGUUGUUCGGAAUUAUUGGGCGUAAAGGGCGUGUAGGCGGUCUUUUAAGUCUGAUGUGAAAGCCCCGGGCUCAACCUGGGAAGUGCAUUGGAAACUGGAAGACUUGAGUACGGGAGAGGGCAGUGGAAUUCCUGGUGUAGGAGUGAAAUCCGUAGAUAUCAGGAGGAACACCGGUGGCGAAGGCGGCUGCCUGGACCGAUACUGACGCUGAGACGCGAAAGCGUGGGGAGCAAACAGG